UACAGAGGGGGCAAGCGUUGUUCGGAAUUACUGGGCGUAAAGGGCGCGUAGGCGGCCUGCUAAGUCGAACGUGAAAUCCCUGGGCUCAACCCAGGAACUGCGUCCGAUACUGGUUGGCUUGAAUCCGGGAGAGGGAUGUGGAAUUCCAGGUGUAGCGGUGAAAUGCGUAGAUAUCAGGAGGAACACCGGUGGCGAAGGCGGGAUCCUGGGCCAGUACUGACGCUGAGGAGCGAAAGCGUGGGGAGCAAACAGG
rnacentral:rRNA from 1 species